rnacentral:rRNA from 1 species
AAUGAACGUUGGCGGCGUGGAUUAGGCAUGCAAGUCGAGCGCGAUGAGUUUGGUAGCUUGCUAUUGAACUCGGAAAGCGGCGAAAGGGAGAGUAACGCGUAGUUACGUGCCCCAGGGUUCGGAAUAGCCACGGGAAACUGUGGGUAAUGCCGAAUAACAUCUCCGGAUCAAAGGUGUGAUUCCGCCCUGGGAGCGGACUGCGUCCUACUAGCUAGUUGGCGGGGUGAUGGCCCACCAAGGCAACAAUGGGUAGCGGGUGUGAGAGCAUGACCCGUCUCACUGGGACUGAGACACUGCCCAGACACCUACGGGUGGCUGCAGUCGAGAAUCUUCGGCAAUGGGCGAAAGCCUGACCGAGCGACGCCGCGUGCGGGAUGAAGGCCCUCGGGUUGUAAACCGCUGUCGUAGGGGAGGAAGGCUCUGUGAAGAACAGGGUUUGACCUAUCCUAGGAGGAAGUACGGGCUAAGUUCGUGCCAGCAGCCGCCGCAG